CCAACUCCAAUCUCCCCAUCCAAUGCCAAGCUGCCACGUCCAUAAGGAUUUGAUCCUAAAACUCCUUAUCUAAGGAUCAAUCCUUAGAGCAUGUUUAUUGGGGUCCCCUAAGAGGAUUGCUUAGCAUAAUUGGGGUUUAAAAAUAAAGAAAAAAUGAGAUUAAAGCAAGGGGCGUAGCUUAAUUACGACACCGAAGGGGCGUCCCUUACGAGCCACGUGUCGCGAUAUUACAGAGGAGAGGAGAGGAGCGGUGUCGAGGUUUCGUGAAUUUUUGUUCGUUCUCUCUUUCGUUCGUUUUCUCUCGAAAGCGAAAGGCGAUUUCAAUGGAUUCUCUCCCUCUCGGUGGAAGUGAGAUCGGAGUUUUUGAGGAGACAACUAUCAGAAAGAGGAUGGAAACAAGUUUGAAUCCAAUCAGGGAGAAGAAAGCAAAGAAGAAGUUCCAUCAAAGGGAGAUGCUCUGAGACAAUGAAGAAGUAUUGCAGCACGGAAGUGAUUGAACGGUGACGGGCAUAACUCGCAGCUUGAAAAUCAUGAUCUACUUUUCGGUCACAAGGCAUACAAGAACAUGAGACUACAAGAACAUGAGACUGAAAGCUGAGAGAGUACACGAGAGAGGUCACCGGAGUCGGAGGCAGACAAGGACAGUGCUUGUCUUGUAUCAUGAAAGUCACGCUUGUGUUGUAUACAAAUGGUUUUGUUUUUUUUUUUUUUUGCAUCAGAAACACACAUAUAAAUUGUGUUCUCCAAUCUCUCCAUACUUGUAGUUUUUUACCUUUCCAAUCUCCCAUUGUUAAGAACCUUAAUUAAGUAACCACCA